rfam:Culex pipiens quinquefasciatus supercont3.105 genomic scaffold, whole genome shotgun sequence.
GCGUGGCCGAAUGGUAACGCUGUCCGCUUUGUAAGCGGAUGAUUCUGGGUUCGAUUCCCAUCUGCUGCA